rnacentral:rRNA from 1 species
GGUGCAGGCCAGCGUCGGUUUGGGUGGGGGGAUAAAGGCGUCUGGAAUGUGGCUCCUCCGGGAGUGUUAUAGCCAGAUGUGCCAUGCCUCCGCCUGGACCGAGGUACGCGUUCUGCAAGGACGCUGGCGUAAUGGUCUCCAGCGA